AAACCUAUACAUUAUCUAUAUAUACAACUUGGUCACCACCUUAGAGUAAAAGCUUCUUGAAAUAAGAUCAAAAGAUUUAAUAAACUAAUUAAAUUGAUAAAAGAAAAUCUAAAAUAUUUAGUAUAAAUUCACUUACAUCUUAGGUUUUGUUUAGACAUAAAGAUGUCUAGUAGCAGGAGUUGAGAUACCUUUGGUAAAUACCAAUGGAAAAUACCAUCCAACCAACACCAAUCUUUCUGGUGACAUUUGACGCGGUUACAAUGGUUGUGGAUGAGAAAAUGUUGCUUUUACUCUUAGAGUAGAUUAAUUCUUCUACAUGAAACUGUUCAAAAAAAAUCUUUACAUGAGUAUUGACUCAAACCACAAGCCACAUAGGAUAUUGCAAUCGUUUACAAAGAGUAUUAGAGAAACAAUUUGUUAAUAUUUUGUUUAAGUUUCAGUAAAUAAAAAAUAUCAUAAACAUGAAAAAAAGAAGAAUUAUAAGCAAUUAGUCAUAAGUUAGAAAAAAAAAAAGAAUUAGAAUAGAUAUUCAUGUUCAACUUCAAGUUCUUUACCCGUAUCAACCAUUAAUGGUCAUUCUUUCGACAUCUCUUUGCAAACGACAUGUAUGGUAUGUCGACUUUGAAGCCAUUGUUAUCUCUGCAAAUUUUGUGCAAUUCUGGAGAUGGAGGUGACUAUGCAAGAAAAGAUGGGUAUAUUAUUUAUAGACGAAAAACUGAGUAAUGGAGGGAGAUAAUUGUGGUUAAUUUGAAAUAUGAAAUUAACCAUCAUUGAGGGGAAUACGGGAUUCCAAAUUAACUUCUGAUCUUCUUUUCAUGUUAUUUUUUUCUUAUUUUUUGACAAGGAUUAAUUAUUAGUCAUAUUGGGGAGAUUAGCAAUAAGCGAUUGUACUUAAUUUUUUAUUUUUUGUACCUCUUACAUUUCAAGAAAUGCUUAAUAAAAUAGAAUAAUUUGAAAUAUGAAAUUAAACAAUAUGCUUAAUAAAAUAGAAUAGAUUAACGUUAGUGUACCAAAAUAGAUUUGGAGAAUGUUUUCCAACAGAUUUGACUCCAUCAGAAAUAGAUCAUCUUCUUCAUUCCCAUUCUUCCUAAAUGUUUUCAACAAUUUAGACCCCUCCCAACUUCAAAAAAAGAAAUCUUGUGCAAAUCUUGAAGAUUCAACCUAUAUUGCAUGAAAUCUUUCACACCAAUUUCUAAUUUCUUUCUCAUGAUCCUCAUUUCUUCAUCUAUGCACCAAAACACGUCAAUUUCUUGAACACAAAAAUGAUGAACAACAUGAAGCAAUUACACAAACAUCAACGGCGAGAUGAAGAAAUGC
rnacentral:lncRNA from 1 species